CUCCGCGCCGACCUGGAUGAAGAGGGCAGCUUCGACGAGGCCGUCGCCGGCUGCGACUACGCCUUCCUCGUCGCCGCUCCGGUGAACCUCGCGUCCGAGGAUCCUGAGGUGCGCAGUCUGGCUCAGGCAUCCCUUAACAGUCAGUCAGUCACCACUGUUCUGUGUUCUGCCUGCCUGUUGGCUCGCUCAAUUCAACUCGAUCUGCGCGUGGCAGAAAGAGCUGAUCGAGGCAGCCGUCCGAGGAACUCUGAACGUGAUGAGGUCGUGCGUGAAAGCGGGGACGGUGAAGCGCGUCAUCCUGACCUCGUCGGCGGCCUCGAUCAUCAUGAGGCCGGAGCUGCAGGGUGACGGCCAUGUCCUGGACGAGGAGUCCUGGUCCAACGUCGAGUACCUCAGAGCCAACAAGACUGCUUUCUGGGUACGCGCCGUUCCUUCGGAACCAGCAUGUUUUAUUGGUCCGUUUGCUAAUGGUGUUCGCGUUGCGUUUGCGUCGCAGGGUUACCCGGUCUCCAAGGUGCUCUCGGAGAAGGCGGCGUGCAGGUUCGCGGAGGAGCACGGCAUCAGCCUCGUCACCGUCUGCCCCGUCGUCACCGUCGGUGCGGCACCGGCGCCGACCGCCCGCACCAGCGUCCCGAACUGCCUCUCCCUUCUGUCCGGUGAGGCCGUGAGCACGAGCGCUGAGAUGAGCUGACCGGAAGACAGAGAAGAACUUGUCGAUUUCUCUCGUACCUGCAGUUCUUUUCAUACCGCUGCGUCACGUGACUAUCGCAGGCGACGAGGCAGAGUUCGCCGUGCUGAGAGGCAUGGCGAAGGUGUCCGGCACGGUGCCGCUGGUUCACGUCGACGACGUCUGCCGCGCCGAGCUAUUCGUCGCCGAGGAGGAGGCGGCCGCGGGGAGGUACCUCUGCUGCAGCCUCAACACGACCAUCGCCGAGCUCGCGCGUUUCCUAUCUGCAAAUUACCCGCAGUACACUGUGAAAACGAAGCUGCUGUGAGUUGAACUCUAAAUAAAGAAUCUGCUGUGAAGUAAGAAUCAGGCACUUGCUUUGCAGUGAGGAGUGAUUAUCGCCUUCCACUUUGCAGCUCUGGUGAUCUGCUUGAGAAGCCGAGAGCACGCCUGUCAUCGGCGAAGCUGGUCGGUGAAGGGUUUGAGUACAGGUACAAGACGCUCGAUGGGAUGUACGACGACAUGAUCGACUAUGGCAAAGCCUUGGGAAUUCUGCCCAAUCUAUGAUGCUCCUCUGCUUUGUAUGGGUGGGUGAUCACAACUCCAAACCAGCAAGCAGUUGCAAGAUCCUCCAUGCUGCUAGAGUACUAGUACUGGUACGUUGAAUAAAUACAUUGUGAUGAUAGAUGUGGGUGGUUUAGAUUCAUUCAUAGAAAAUUUGGGUUUAUUUUCCCAUAAUGGCAAAGAUAUGUAAUUUGAAUAUACAUUUUAGGGCACUUUGGGUUAUUGUUUUAUGAUGGCACAUGUGAGUGAUUUAAAAGAAAAUUAAUUAGAUAUUAUUGGUAACCACUUGCGGUUAACGGCAUUGCAAUUUGUAACAAGAAACUGACUUUCGUGAUUCUUCUUUUUCCCCACAGAGCCCUUCCAUUCAUUGGAGUGUGGCCGCCUAUCUUUCAGAAUCAGAUUGAGAAUUUCGAUUUCAAUCACAUCCAUUCAAUCGGAUUAGUCAUCAUAAAGAUCCAUUACACUUGGCUGAAUGUGUCAUUUUCAGUGCGAGGCGUAAGUCAUAACAACAGACAAACUGUCGUCGUCAUCGUUCCCCACGAUCUGUCCUUUAUUUUUUUAUUUUUUUGCCUUGUUUAGUUCCCUUUUCUCAACUUUGGCACUAUGCAAAAAGAAAAAUUCCCCAUCACAUCAAACUUACGAUAUAUGCAUGAGUACUAAAUGUAGACGAAAUCAAAAACUAAUUACACAGUUUUGUUGUACUUUGCGAAACGAAUCUUUUGAGCCUAAUUAGUCAAUGUUUGGACAAUAAUUCACAAAUACAAACGAAAUACUACCGUUGCGCAUUUAUAGCAAAAUGCAAACUUUGCCACUCCCAAUUUGGGAACUAAACAAGGCCAGGGCUAUUUGGCGAAGGGCUGUUUGGCGAUAGGGUGUUAAAAUUUAACACCCGUCACAUCGGAUGUUUGGAUGAUAAUUAGGAGUAUUAAAUAUAGGCUAAUUACAAAACUAAUUGCAUAGAUGGAGUGUAAUUCGCGAGACGAAUCUAUUAAGCCUAAUUAGUCCAUAAUUUGACAACGUGGUGCUAAGUAAUCAUUUGCUAAUGAUGAAUUAAUUAGGUUUAAUAGAUUCAUCUCGCGAAUUAGCACAGGAUUCUGCAAUUAGUUUUAUAAUUAGCUCAUGUUUAGUUCUCCUAAUUAGCAUCCGAACAUCCGAUGUGACAAUGUUAAAGUUUAGUACCUCAUAUCCAAACACCUCCGAAAUCAACCUAGCGCUGGUCGCGGCCCCAACGAUCACUGUCCCUGUGGGCGGCUGCUAACAACCGAUCAAGCAAUCAGCACCUGACCUACGCCAUCGAUCUCUUCCUACAGCAGACUGCAUCUUCUCCUGAAAGUUCAGGUGUCCGGGUGAGUGAAUCUCCUCUUUCCGGCGAUUCAGCCUCUACUAGUGUGGAGUGAGGAUAGCGGCUAGGGGACGUCGUGACCGGCGAUGUCGGCCGACGACAAGAUGAAGACGGCGUGCGUCACCGGAGGGAGCGGGUACAUCGCCUCCGCGCUCAUCAAGAUGCUGUUGGAGAAAGGGUAUGCCGUGAAGACGACGGUCAGGAACCCCGGUUUGAUUCACUGAUCCAUCCCUUUCAGCUCUUUUUUUCUUCUGUUUCUCGUAGGGAUGAAAUUUUCGGAGUAGUUGCAAAAAUUGACAAUAAUAACUAGUACUCCAUGUGUUCUCAUAAGAGGUUCCUUUAAUCAUGUUGGAGUAAAACAAAUUACUGUGAAAGAAUUUGUCAGCAUGAUCCUGAAUCUUCCAAGUGCUUGCCGCUUUGCUUCCGCAACCCCCAGAUGACAUGGCGAACAACUCCCACCUCAAGAACUUGCAGGCGCUCGGCCCCCUGGAGGUCCUCCGCGCAGAUUUGGACGAAGAAGGCAGCUUCGAUGAAGCCGUCGCCGGCUGCGACUACGCCUUCCUUGUCGCCGCUCCCGUGAACCUCAAGUCGGAGAAUCCUGAGGUGUGGGGCCACUGUUCUGCUGUAAAAAUUUGGCACUACUGAACAAUGCCUUGACUUGGUCCACUCAAAUGAACUCGAUGCAUGGCAGAAAGAGCUGAUCGAGCCAGCUGUCCGAGGAACUCUGAACGUGAUGAGGUCGUGCGUGAAAGCGGGGACGGUGAAGCGCGUCAUCCUGACCUCGUCGGCGUCCUCGAUCACCAGGAGGCCGGAGCUGCAGGGCGACGGCCAUGUCCUGGACGAGGAGUCCUGGUCCAACGUCGAGUACCUCAGAGCCAACAAGACUGCUUUCUGGGUACGCGCCGUUCCUUCUGAACCAGCAUGUUUUAUUGGUCCGUUUGCUAAUGGUGUUCGCGUUGCGUUCGCUUCGCAGGGUU
rnacentral:lncRNA from 1 species